UACGAAGGGGCUAGCGUUGCUCGGAAUCACUGGGCGUAAAGCGCACGUAGGCGGAUUGUUAAGUCAGGGGUGAAAUCCUGGAGCUCAACUCCAGAACUGCCUUUGAUACUGGCGAUCUUGAGUUCGGGAGAGGUGAGUGGAACUGCGAGUGUAGAGGUGAAAUUCGUAGAUAUUCGCAAGAACACCAGUGGCGAAGGCGGACUCACUGGCC
rnacentral:rRNA from 1 species